AUGGCACCCAUCAUUUUAUUAAUGAUUUCUCUAGCAAAGGGAUUGAAACUAUUGGAAACUAUAAAUAUACUGUCAAAUUUGUUUAAUGAAGCACGUCUAAUAGCAGCAGGUAAACGGAAGCCCAUUUUGAUGUUUCAAACUCAAAUUUAUGAAAAAUGUAUUUCAGUUUUGGUGCUUGAUUACGUGAAUGAGCUGUGA